UGGUCCCGGGACCGCAAGAAACUCGUGUUAUAUGCCAAAUCAGUGGGUCAUAUCACAGUUUACUUGCUGUCCCGGGCGCUU
rnacentral:pre_miRNA from 1 species